rnacentral:sRNA from 1 species
CGAUCCUGCCUUUCAGGCAUCCUCUCCUAGACUUUAGGCCGGUCCUUCGGGAUCGGCCUUUUUUUCGUCUGCU